rnacentral:tRNA from 1 species
UCCCUGAUGGUCCAGAGGUGGGGACGUGGCGCUUUCACUGCCAUGGCCUGGGUUCAAUCCCUGGUUGGGAAC